CACCUCCUAAUCUCUAAAAUCUAUUGUAAAAUUCCUUAUAACUUCAAAAGAGAAAAAAUAUGUCUUAAAUAAAUAUCUUAACUUCAAACGGCUAUUAUUUCAUCAUCAUAACUCCAAAUCUUCUAAAAUUUAUAUACAAAUUUUAAUUCAAAUCCUAAACCUUAUAAAUCUUGCUUUGGAUUUUCAAAUUCUCUUUCUAAAGUCACUGAAUCCUUAUUAUGGUCACAGAUAACUUAUUGAAUGUCUAUUAGGCAUGGCCUUCAAUCAAUAGGGAUGAAGAUCUUUAUCCUUUUGCCUUCAUCUAUCUAUACCUUACUUUCAUCUCUCCAAAUAAGUUUCUUGGAUGUUUGGAU
rnacentral:lncRNA from 1 species